AGCAGCCGCGGUAACACCGGCGGCCCGAGUGGUGAUCGUGAUUAUUGGGUCUAAGGGUCCGUAGCCGGUUUGGUCAGUCCUCCGGGAAAUCUGAUAGCUCAACUAUUAGGCUUUCGGGGGAUACUGCCAGACUGGAACCGGGAGAGGUAAGAGGUACUACAGGGGUAGGAGUGAAAUCUUGUAAUCCCUGUGGGACCACCUGUGGCGAAGGCGUCUUACCAGAACGGGUUCGACGGUGAGGGACGAAAGCUGGGGGCACGAACCGGAUUAGAUACCCGGGUAGUCCCAGCCGUAAACGAUGCUCGCUAGGUGUCAGGCAUGGCGCGACCGUGUCUGGUGCCGCAGGGAAGCCGUGAAGCGAGCCACCUGGGAAGUACGGCCGCAAGGCUGAAACUUAAAGGAAUUGGCGGGGGAGCACAACAACGGGUGGAGCCCUGCGGUUUAAUUGGACUCAACGCCGGACAACUCACCGGGGGCGACAGCAAUAUGUAGGCCAAGCUGAAGACUUUGCCUGAAUCGCUGAGAAGUGGUGCAUGG
rnacentral:rRNA from 1 species